AUUCCAGCUCCAAUAGCGUAUAUUAAAGUUGUUGCAGUUAAAAAGCUCGUAGUCGGAUUUUGGCAUCACGCCGAACUGUCUGCCGAUUGGUAAGUACGGUUUGGCGGGUGCUUCCUUCCGGAGGCUCGUUCCCUUCUUCAUUGAAGGGUUCGUUGGUUCCGGGUCUUUUACUUUGAGAAAAUUAGAGUGUUCAAAGCAGGCCUAUGCUCUGAAUAGGUUAGCAUGGAAUAAUAGAAUAGGACUUUGGUUCUAUUUUGUUGGUUUCUAGGACCGAAGUAAUGAUUAAUAGGGACAGUUGGGGGCAUUCAUAUUCCAUUGUCAGAGGUGAAAUUCUUGGAUUAACGGAAGAUGAACUUCUGCGAAAGCAUCUGCCAAGGAUGUUUUCAUCG
rnacentral:rRNA from 1 species